rnacentral:lncRNA from 1 species
AUAUAUUUUUUAAAUAAAUGUGUCUUUAAAGGUGACCUAACAGCACCAUAUGAAACUGCUAAGGUAUUAAUAGCAUCAAUGUUUUAAGGGACAAAAGCAUUUCAUGGGCCGCAGUGGGAAAAAUUCUAGAAUGCAACGGUUAUAUUGGUGACGUGGCGUAACAAAUCAAUCAAAAAUCUCCUUUUAAAGAUAUUUGUCCCAUCAUGAUUAUAAAAAAGUAUUUUUAUUGUACUUUUGUUUGAAAAGAAAAAAGAUGAUUGGCUUAUUAUUGAUGAUGCGUUGUAAGUGUGAUAGUGCAGAAUUCCUCCUGCAGUGGCCGCCGAUUUGUAGGCAGUGGUGUGGAUGAAGUUUACUGUGUAACAUUUACACUAUAUUAUUUAUCCUCGGCCAAUCUAUAUCUCUUAUUUUGUGAGAAAAUAUAAUAAAAAUAUUUUUUUAAAAAAUUAUGAUGAAUGGGUGAACCCUAUAAAAGUUUUUUGAUUGAUUGGGAACACCGUAUCAGCAAUAUAAAUAUUAUAUUUUAAAAUUUUUCUAGUGGUAGAGAAUAUAAUUGCAAGAAAAAUCGUACGUAAUGCACAUAUUAGUAGAAUAUAAAUCGUGCAUCUUAUUGUUUAAAAAUUUAACAAUUUUUUAAAAUUUUUCGUUAGAAAAUAAUUUAUAAAAUUAUUAAAAAAAGGUGAUCUUUUAAUGAAUACAAUAUAAAAUUAUACUGGUAAUACAAACGCACUCGAUCGAGUGAGGAGACAAUCAAAGUGAGAUUGAAAUAUAAAUAUUGAAAUACCAUUUUUCGAUAACUUAGUAUUUCGAAGAACAACAGUUAUUUUAUAUCUUUUAACACGAUAUCAAAACAUGCUGUCCUGAAUUCGAGUUUAACCAUACUCUAAUUUAAUUUAAUAUCUUUCUAUUUAAUUUAAGUUUACUUUUCUGAUCGAUUAAAGAAUAAAGAGUUUCGAACUUAGACGCGAAGAACUGUUAUACUCUAUAAUAAA